rnacentral:rRNA from 1 species
UGAGGAAUUUUGCGCAAUGGGGGCAACCCUGACGCAGCAACGCCGCGUGAGUGAAGAAGGCCUUUGGGUCGUAAAGCUCUGUCAACAGGGAAGAAGUUAAUAUCUAUUAAUAGUGGAUACUAUUGACGGUACCUGUGGAGGAAGCGCCGGCUAACUCCGUGCCAGCAGCCGCGGUAACACGGGGGGCGCAAGCGUUAUUCGGAAUUAUUGGGCGUAAAGGGCGCGUAGGCGGUCUUGUCCGUCAGGUGUGAAAGCCCGGGGCUCAACCCCGGAAGUGCACUUGAAACAGCAAGACUUGAAUACGGGAGAGGAAAGCGGAAUUCCUGGUGUAGAGGUGAAAUUCGUAGAUAUCAGGAGGAACACCGAUGGCGAAGGCAGCUUUCUGGACCGAUAUUGACGCUGAGGCGCGAAGGCGUGGGUAGCGAACGGGAUUAGAUACC